ensembl:lncRNA novel transcript, antisense to RNF19B
GGGAGGGGGUCCCGUGAUGGGAUCAGUCAGAUGCCCGCCUGGCUGCUCCCCCUGAGGGGACUUAGGCUCCUCUUCGCAUUGGCAGACCGGUAUAAACCCCCGGCUCAGAUGGAGCUAUGCCAGAUGCUGCCUUAAGCCGUAUGAGGUCGCCACGGAACAGUAGGUGCAGGGAAAUGUGUGAAGUCUGGCUGCAGUGCCCAAGAGAUAAGAAUCUUCUAAGCUGGCUGUUGUCCAGACUUGCCAUCCUCAUUGUAGUAAAACACUGGCCAGGAAGACAAAAGUGCAUCUGUGAAAGGAAACAGAAAGUCAUCUGGUCUUCAGGGAAAGGAGGAUUUCAAUUUUUCCUCUGGGCCCAGGACUAAGGAGCCGGCGCACAUGCAGGAGCCACCAGUGGCACAGGAGCAGUUGGGGUCCAUUUCGAGCAAAGGAGAUGCUGGAGCUCCCACCGGUGAGGCCAACAAGCAGUCAGGCAGUUGGAAAGCAUGCUGCCUUUUUCAUUCUUAAGUUCCAGUUCCACAGUGAAGCUGGUCUGACCAUAGUCACAGAGACAAUAAACCCUAAAGACUUAUGAUCAG